rnacentral:lncRNA from 1 species
AUCAGAUCGGUCCUCCUCCUCCAGCUCUGAGGUCAUUCAGAGAAAGCUGAGGAUAAAAUGCAGCUACUCCCUCUGGAGCAGGCGGCACACGGUGUUCUUGUGCCUGAUAAAUGUACCAAGAACUUCAUUAUCUGAUGAGGAAGGCUCCCGGGCCGCCCACGCCUGCUGCCAAGCCAGCCGAGGGCGUUGCUGCAGGUGGGAAGCAGCGUGGGACGGCUGGGCCCGCCUCCUUGAGCCAAAGCCCCUAAUGAGGCCAGCUCAGGAAGAUUCCUCUGGACCAGUCUCAGCCUCAGCAGGAGGGACGGACAGGGACUUUGGACAAGACUGAGGCUCUGAGAGGUUGUGGAGGUGUCACCCAGCUGGAUAAGGGUCAGAAAUAAGAUGGAAAGUAUUCCGAUCUCUGUAAUGACAAUACCCAGCACUUACACAGAACCUUCUACGGGACCCGCACGGCACAUCUAUUCACUCAUUCAAUCCUCCAGCAACCCACGAGGGCAGGACUGUCGCUGUCUUGGUGCCACACGCGAGGAAACUGAGGCACAGAGAAAGAAGCUCGCCAAAGCUUUGUGAGCCAGGAGGCAGGAGGAUGGACGACGCACUGGAGGCCUGAUCAGAUGGCGAAAGGGAGGAAGAAACCAGAGCCACUUGUCUCCUUGAUCUCUGGGAUGGAAGCCACCUUCAGGUAAAAUCGCCAGCAGCAAGUUAGAGGUUGCAAGGCCUUCCUCCCCACAAAGGGUUAAGUGGGGGCCGGUGAUGUAAGUGCUGAUCCCACCGGUGUUUGAACAGGAAAAGAACUCGGGCGCUGUUUUUCUUCUCGG